GCUACAGUGCUACUGGCCCAUAAUCAGGCAACUGCAGAGUCUUAGGGGGUUAUCUAAUGUAGUCUUGGGGUGGCUGGAUAGACUUCCCAAAGAAGGUGAUGCCGAAGCUGAGGUCGGAAAUUACGAAGAUCAGCUAUGCCUUUUAAAGGACCAUGGGCUGUUUGAGGGGCCAACAUCAUUAACUGCAAACUUGGAAAUCAUGUCUUAGAGAUCAAGGAGCCAAGAGAUGAGACAAGCCUGGGUUCCUAGGUGAUAGGGUGUGGCUGUGUCCCCACCCAAAUCUCGUCUUGAAUUGUAGCUCCCAUAAUCCCCACAUGUUGUGGAGGGACCCUGUGGAAGAUUGUGCCUGCAGCCUGGCCUGUUGCCCACAGCGGUCUACCUGCCACACUGGGAAAGAUCGAGCAGAGACAGAGAAGAAAAGGAGGCUCCAUUUUUCAGGCUGCUCUCCCGCAGGCUCAUGUUUUGUGUUCAUGCCAGGCAGAGAACACAAAAUGUUCCAAUAAAUAAGUAUCAAAGUGCAGCCCUGGCCAGAGAGGGCAGAAGCCAUUUAUUGUGGAUGCAAAGCUGUGACUAUGGCUGCCUGAACAGUGUGAUAUAUGUUCUCUAUCUCUGCUUUUAUAAGGCAGCUGUUUCUCGGAGGAUCAAGCUCAGGUAUCGGCAGUGUGAAUUAUGAGUCCUAAUCAACUUGGUCAUGCUUUGUGGCCUGGGAAAAGCCAGAAUGUUUCCCUUUUAUGAUUUGAGAGUGCACUUUUUGCAGCCUGUGGAGCAAUUAGUCAAUCUUUGAAAUGGAUACGCAGUAAAUGCAGCAUGUCCUUGGAGAGCCACUGGGACAGCUUACUAUGGGAGGGGAGGCCAUAAGGUGAUCCCCACAACAAAUGCCCUAGCUUUGGCUAAAAGAUCUGCAAGACAAUGGAAAACAUGACUUUAAGAGAAAGAAAACGAAACUUCCAGACAGUCAGGAACAUCGACAUAUUCAUAGAUGCCCCUCCCCACAUGAAAUCACUAACUUGUCAAAGAGAUUUUAUAGCAUGAAGAAUAAAGGUUAAAAAGGAACCUACUAUUUACUUUAUAAUUUUAAAGUUAUUUACAUAACUUUAUACAUAGUUGAAACUUUCAACUAUUUCUCUAAUUGUCACAUUGAUUUGUCAGGCUUAACAUUAUGUUUGUGUAAAGAAAUGAUGAUCUGAAAGUGUGGAGGAAGACCAGAAAUCAAACAUACCUCAGGUUUAGAUGAGAACUGGGAAGUGGGAGCUUUUGUCCUUGGCAUGAUUAUUUUUCCCCUGUGCAUAUUUUUAGAAAGGUAUAUUGAGGUAGCAUUCACCGAACAUAAAAUUAACCAUUUUAAAGUGAACAGUUAUGUGACAUUUAGUACAUUCAUAAUGUUGUACAAGCACCAUGUCUCUCUAGCUUGAAAAUAUUUUUGUUACUCCAAAAGAAAACUUCAAAACAGUUAAGCAGUUAUUCCCUUUCCCCCUUUCCCAUACCCGCUGGCAAUCACUAAUCUGCUUUCUGUUUGUGUGGAUUUACCUAUUCUAGAUAUUUCAUAUAAAUGAAAUCAUAUAC
ensembl:lncRNA CCDC26 CCDC26 long non-coding RNA